rnacentral:rRNA from 1 species
AGACGAGGGGCCCGAGCGUUAAUCGGAAUCACUGGGCUUAAAGGGUACGUAGGCGGAUGUGUAGGUGUCUUGUGAAAUCCCUCGGCUUAACCGGGGAACUGCAAGGCAAACCACACAUCUUGAGGCAGGUAGAGGUCGUCGGAACGAUAGGUGGAGCGGUGAAAUGCGUAGAUAUCUAUCGGAACGCCAACGGUGAAGACAGGCGACUGGGCCUGAUCUGACGCUGAGGUACGCAAGCGUGGGGAGCGAACGGGAUUAGAAACCCCAGUAGUCC